rnacentral:rRNA from 1 species
GACGAACGCUGGCGGCGUGCUUAACACAUGCAAGUCGAACGGAAAGGCCCUGCUUUUGUUGGGUGCUCGAGUGGCGAACGGGUGAGUAACACGUGAGUAACCUGCCCUUGACUUUGGGAUAACUUCAGGAAACUGGGGCUAAUACCGGAUAGGAGCUCCUGCUGCAUGGUGGGGGUUGGAAAGUUUCGGCGGUUGGGGAUGGACUCGCGGCUUAUCAGCUUGUUGGUGGGGUAGUGGCUUACCAAGGCUUUGACGGGUAGCCGGCCUGAGAGGGUGACCGGCAAAAUUGGGACGGAGAUACGGCCCAGACUCCUACGGGAGGCAGCAGUGGGGAAUAUUGCACAAGGGGCGGAAGCCUGAUGCAGCAACGCCGCGUGCGGGAUGACGGCCUUCGGGUUGUAAACCGCUUUAGCAUGUGACGAAGCGUGAGUGACGGUAAUGGGUAAAGAAGCACCGGCUAACUACGUG